UCUUUCAACUGCGUCAACUGCAGGCCUAAAAUCUCACAUUUGUAAAAAAAAGUUGUGUUCGCAACAGACUUGUAGCAAGAUUGUCAACAAGAUGUGUCCGCAACACACUUGUGGCAACUUAUGAACAAGAUAUACUCGAAAUAAAUUUGUAUCAAGCUUAUCGACAAGAUGCGUUUGCAACAGACUUACAACAAGCUUUUCAUGUCAAGAUGUUCGCAACAGACCUAGACUUGUAGCGAACAUCUUGUUGACAUGAAAAGCUUGUUGUAAGUCUGUUGCAGACAAGUCUUGUUUACAAGCUUGCUAUAAUUCUGUUGCGAACACAUCUUGUUGACAAGCUUGAUACAAUUCUGUUGCGAACGCAAUCAUUUUUACAAAUAUGAGAGUUUAGACGUGUAGUUGACGCAGUUGAUGGA